rnacentral:rRNA from 1 species
AGAGUUUGAUCAUGGCUCAGAAUCAACGCUGGCGGCGCGCCUAACACAUGCAAGUCGAACGAGAAAGUGGAGCAAUCCAUGAGUACAGUGGCGUACGGGUGAGUAACACGUGGGUAAUCUACCUUUUAGUGAGGAAUAACCGAGGGAAACUUUGGCUAAUACCGCAUAAGUCCGAGAGGAGAAAGUCGAAAGACGCUGAAAGAGGAGCCCGCGGCCGAUUAGCUAGUUGGUGGGGUAAGAGCCCACCAAGGCAGAGAUCGGUAGCCGGCCUGAGAGGGCACACGGCCACACUGGCACUGAAACACGGGCCAGACUCCUACGGGAGGCAGCAGUGGGGAAUCUUGCACAAUGGGGGAAACCCUGAUGCAGCGACGCCGCGUGAGCGAUGAAGCCCUUCGGGGUGUAAAGCUCUUUCGUCAGGGAAGAUAGUGACGGUACCUGGAGAAGCAGCUGCGGCUAACUACGUGCCAGCAGCCGCGGUAAUACGUAGGCAGCAAGCGUUGUUCGGAGUUACUGGGCGUAAAGGGUGUGUAGGCGGUUCUUUAAGUUUGGUGUGAAAUCUCCCGGCUCAACUGGGAGGGUGCGCCGAAUACUGAGGGACUAGAGUACGGGAGAGGAAAGUGGAAUUCCUGGUGUAGCGGUGAAAUGCGUAGAUAUCAGGAGGAACACCGGUGGUGUAGACGGCUUUCUGGACCGUAACUGACGCUGAGACACGAAAGCGUGGGUAGCAAACAGGAUUAGAUACCCUAGUAGUCC